rnacentral:rRNA from 1 species
UACGUAGGGGGCGAGCGUUGUCCGGAAUUAUUGGGCGUAAAGGGCGCGUAGGCGGCCAUUUAAGUCUGAUGUGAAAGUGCGGGGCUUAACCCCGUAAAGCAUUGGAAACUGGAUGGCUUGAGGACAGGAGAGGAAAGUGGAAUUCCUAGUGUAGCGGUGAAAUGCGUAGAUAUUAGGAGGAACACCAGUGGCGAAGGCGACUUUCUGGACUGUAACUGACGCUGAGGCGCGAAAGCGUGGGGAUCAAACA